ACAAGGACUUGGACUAUGAAGUGGUCAGGGGCCUGUUUGCCCGUGGGAAUCUUGAGCACUCUCACAUGGCCUUCCGUCAUGCCAUAAGUGUCACACGAAAUUGGCUUUUCAUGCUGGUCAUGUUUCUGGUUCCUUUGUGUGUUACUGGAUCUGUUAUUUUGUCCAUCUUGGCUGUGGUCAUUGCUUUAAGUAUAAUAUGGAUCUGCUCCAG